AUGGAGCCAUUACAGAGAUUGUUGGAGUUGGCUACACAGAGGGGGAUCCUAACUCCGCCAACCACAAAAGCAGCCAGGAUCAGAGUGAGUUUCUAUGCUGACGACGCUGCGGUUUUUGUCAAUCCAAUAAAAGAAGAGAUCAAGGCCAUAAAAGAAAUUCUGCAAUGUUUUGGAGAGGUGUCGGGGCUGAAGGUAAAUGUCCACAAAUGCACUGCCUAUCCCAUCAGAUGUGAGGGUAUCAACUUAGAGGAGGUCUUGGAGGUUUUUGGAGGAAAUACUGCUGCCCUACCUUGCAAGUAUUUAGGACUUCCACUGAGCAUUAGGAAGCUUCGCAGAGUGGAAAUUCAACCGCUUCUAGAAAAAGCAUCUGCAAGGUUAAAGCCUUGGAAGGGGAAACUAAUCACAAGGCCGGGAAGAUUGCUGCUA
rnacentral:rRNA from 1 species